AGUGAACGCUGGCGGUAGGUCUAACACAUGCAAGUCGAACGGCAGCACAGUAAGAGCUUGCUCUUACGGGUGGCGAGUGGCGGACGGGUGAGGAAUACAUCGGAAUCUACUUUUUCGUGGGGGAUAACGUAGGGAAACUUACGCUAAUACCGCAUACGACCUAUGGGUGAAAGCAGGGGAUCUUCGGACCUUGCGCGAUUGAAUGAGCCGAUGUCGGAUUAGCUAGUUGGCGGGGUAAAGGCCCACCAAGGCGACGAUCCGUAGCUGGUCUGAGAGGAUGAUCAGCCACACUGGAACUGAGACACGGUCCAGACUCCUACGGGAGGCAGCAGUGGGGAAUAGUGGACAAUGGGCGCAAGCCUGAUCCAGCCAUACCGCGUGGGUGAAGAAGGCCUUCGGGUUGUAAAGCCCUUUUGUUGGGAAAGAAAAGCAGCAGGUUAAUACCCCGCUGUUCUGACGGUACCCAAAGAAUAAGCACCGGCUAACUUCGUG
rnacentral:rRNA from 1 species